rnacentral:lncRNA from 1 species
GUAAGACAUAAGAAGCUCUUCAACACACCGAGUGACUCACCACAGGAAUAAACUAAAAUACAGACUGAUCCAAGUUGAAAAUAAGCCAUUUUAUUCAAAAGCAUGUCACUGCCCUGAUGACAUGGUCAUGCGCUGAUGUCAACUGCUCAGUCAUUUCAAACCCACCGAGAUCUGGAGGGGAGAUAAAUUAGUGUGGGGAGGGAAUUUUAAGGAAGAAGUUGAGUGUCCUAAGAAUGUCCUUUCAUGGGAGGUGAGACCACACUGUGAGAGCCGAAGGGAGCUGGAAUCCUCUCAUGUCAAACACAUCACUGUACCCAGGUUUGCAAAGUGGCUCAGCAGGUGCUGGGGCAGCAAUCGUAGCUGCCUGUCACCCCAUUCCCUUUUCCAUGGGAACCCCUGUUCUGAACCAAGAAAACUGCCAUCCUCGAGUACUGGGAGAGAGGAGACAGAAGAGUGGGCAGAGAGGGCCAGGCCUUUUCUCCACCCUCCCCUCUAAAAUUCUGCAGUGAUCUCUCAGUUAGCCCUAGUGAUCUAUUUCACUGAAUGAUUUAUUUCCUCACAACAACCUGUAUGCCUUUGUGUUCUCCACCAGGAACCAAUUUGCUGAGAGGAUGAGACCGAGUGUCACAGGCUGAUCAAACAGGUCAACUUUGACUCGAGAGAAAAUAAGUUCUAUCGGCACUGCCUCCCCCAGCAGACUGUACACAAUCACAUGCUGCAGAACGAUGUUUUGGACAAUGAUGAACCGGAUACACGACAGUGGUCUCCUAAGAUGAUCAUGGAGCUGAAAACUUCAUCGAGAGCUGUCAUAACACCACAGUGCAAUUACUCUAUUUUUAAAAUAAAUGUACUGCAGCCUCAGUGUGCCAUGUUGAUAAAGUCUGCAGUCAUGUACAGCAAUGUCCUAGGCCUUCACAUUCACUCAGCGCUCACUCACUGACUCACCCAGAGCAGCUUCCAGUCCUGCAAGCUCCGUUCAUGACAUAGGAAGGUGACAGUACCGGGAACCUCAUCGAAAACAGGUGUUAAGUACAUGCUUGACACCAAGAAUAACAAAAGCAAAGAUGCAAGAGCUCUUUCCUAUGGGUUUUUCCUGAUCAGACUCUGCUAUUUGAAAGGGAUCUGGAAAGAAGUGAGCCAAGCUCACCUUUGUGAAGACU